GGUGGAGGGCCGAGUGGGACGACAUCCAGCAAAAAUUGGAUCAAGUUCUAACAUUUAUGCAAAGCCUGGGCUCGGCGAUGGGUGUUUCGCCUCCACAAUUCCCUCCGGCCCCACUUGUUCGUCGUGCAGAAACUCCUCCUACCAAUCAGUCGGCGGCAUCCAAUGAUGGGCCAGUGAAUCCUGACUUCUCGCCUCCGGUGCAGCAGACUCAGCAGCCUCAGCAGUUUGUGUGGCCACUGCCUCAAUGGGUGGCUUGGAUUCAGCAGCAGUAGCAGCAGCCAGGUUGGUCGCAGACGCCUACAUGGCCGAUGUGGCCGCAGCACCCGCCACAGCCACCGCCGCCGUCGGACCCGUGAGUUACAUUGUAUGGACUUAUUUUGUACCAACUUGUAUGGAUUUGUAUGGACUUGAUUUGUAUGGACUCGACUUGUACUUGUGGUUGUCGAUGAACAAAAAAAGACUUUAUUGGUA